UGUUGUUGGAGAAUCGACUGACAAUGACGACGAUGACUCGGAAGGCACCUGACAUUACCUGGGGACAGCUAAAGAAACUGGACCGACAGGCAACUAUCCGGCUUGCCGCCAUGGAAGCCCCUGCAACUGCAGAGGAUCGGUUUCUUUUGUAUCUGGUGGUAAUUGGGGGAACUUCUGAAAAAGUAAGACAGACAUGGAUGUUGGGGUGGUUGGCAUCUGCAGAUGGCUCUGUGCUGCCCCCCGGCGCAUCUAUGACCAGGGAAGAACGAUAGAACUUUACCUUGCAUUGGAUGACCAGCACGCUCUAAGAAUUGAAGAAGGGGGAGUUGUGGCGGGUGCACGUCAACAUAUAGAAGCUUAUGUGCAUGGCAUUUGAAGUCGGGGCAUGGAAAAAUACUGAGGCACUGUGUGUAUGUUAUUUGUGCAUAAGAAUGUAACUCCUUGACCCUGAAAACAGGACAAGGAGUGGAGUGUGUGAUAAGGAACGCUGAAAACAGCCUCCUGAGAAUGUGGUUUGAGGGCUUUUACAAG